rnacentral:rRNA from 1 species
UUUUGGACAAUGGGCGCAAGCCUGAUCCAGCAAUGCCGCGUGCAGGAAGAAGGCCUUCGGGUUGUAAACUGCUUUUGUACGCACCCCCCACGGUCCUGGUUAAUACCUGGGGCUAAUGACGGUACCGUAAGAAUAAGCACCGGCUAACUACGUGCCAGCAGCCGCGGUAAUACGUAGGGUGCAAGCGUUAAUCGGAAUUACUGGGCGUAAAGCGUGCGCAGGCGGUUUUGUAAGACAGGCGUGAAAUCCCCGGGCUUAACCUGGGAAUGGGGCUUGUGACUGCGAAGCUGGAGUGCGGCAGAGGGGGAUGGAAUUCCGCGUGUAGCAGUGAAAUGCGUAGAUAUGGGAGGAACACCGAUGGCGAAGGCAGCCCCCUGGGCUUACACUGACGCUCAUGCACGAAA